GACGAACGCUGGCGGCGUGCCUAAUACAUGCAAGUCGAACGCAGUGGGGACGGGUGAGUAACACGUGGGUAACCUCCCAUCAGAGGGGAUAACACUUGGAAACAGGUGCUAAACCGAUACUGAUGGAUGGACCCGCGGUGCAUUAGCUAGUUGGUGAGGUAACGGCUCACCAAGGCGACGAUGCAUAGCUGGGUUGAGAGGAUGAUCGGCCACACUGGGACUGAGACACGGCCCAGACUCCUACGGGAGGCAGCAGUGGGGAAUAUUGGACAAUGGGGGAAAGCCUGAUCGAGCCAGGCCGCGUGUGUGAAGAAGGCCUUCGGAUUGUAAAGCACUUUUGGUAGGGAAGCGGUACCUACAGAGAAAGCACCGGCUAACUACGUGCCAGCAGCCGCGGUAAUAC
rnacentral:rRNA from 1 species